rnacentral:rRNA from 1 species
UGGGGAAUAUUGGGCAAUGGGCGGAAGCCUGACCCAGCAACGCCGCGUGAAGGAAGAAGGCCCUCGGGUUGUAAACUUCUUUUAUUCGGGACGAAGAAGUGACGGUACCGAAUGAAUAAGCCACGGCUAACUACGUGCCAGCAGCCGCGGUAAUACGUAGGUGGCAAGCGUUAUCCGGAUUUACUGGGUGUAAAGGGCGUGUAGGCGGGACUGCAAGUCAGAUGUGAAAACCAUGGGCUCAACCUAUGGCCUGCAUUUGAAACUGUAGUUCUUGAGUGAUGGAGAGGCAGGCGGAAUUCCGUGUGUAGCGGUGAAAUGCGUAGAUAUACGGAGGAACACCAGUGGCGAAGGCGGCCUGCUGGACAUUAACUGACGCUGAGGCGCGAAAGCGUGGGGAGCAAACAGGAUUAGAUACC